rnacentral:tRNA from 1 species
GCCCGGGUAGCCCAACGGUAGAGGCGUCCGAUUCAGGGUCGGAAGGUUGAGGGUUCGAAUCCCCCUCCGGGUAC